GGGAAUCUUCCACAAUGGGCGAAAGCCUGAUGGAGCAACGCCGCGUGUGUGAUGAAGGGUUUCGGCUCGUAAAACACUGUUGUAAGAGAAGAAUGACAUUGAGAGUAACUGUUCAAUGUGUGACGGUAUCUUACCAGAAAGGAACGGCUAAAUACGUACCAG
rnacentral:rRNA from 1 species